rnacentral:misc_RNA from 1 species
UUUUCGUAGGUGAACCUGCGGAAGGAUCAUUGUAGAGUUCCUUUUCAAACAGAUGUGAAGUUGUACCAAUACCCAUUGAGAACUAAUUGUUUUUGCUGUAAGCACUUGCGUUGUUUAGAUGGGUUCCCUUUGCUGCCUUCAUCUUUGCUUCAUAAGUACAGUAGAAAUAAAAGACCGGCAUGGUUUGUGCCAAGGAUAGUUGUUGAGGUACGUUGCCAUCUUUUUGUUGUCUUUGUGUUACUCUAUGAGCAUAUACGUUUGAGCAUAUACACCUGAAUGACUCCUGGCAAUGGACAUCUUAGCUCUC